rnacentral:misc_RNA from 1 species
AAGUCGUAACAAGGUUUCCGUAGGUGAACCUGCGGAAGGAUCAUUAACACGUAUCCAAACGUUUCAACCCCCCCCGUGAACCUUCAGCCUGCUCUUUUAACCCGCGUAGUUUGCAAUCUCUGAUAAAUCAUAGCCCGGAAAGUUGUAGUGAUUCAGAGACCUCAUGCUACGUGCGAACAUUGGAACAGUUACAAUCAAGCGGUAGUUCUAUAGGCAAUGUUUCCCCAAGCAGUCAGUGUCGGAAAGUGUCAUUGAUGGGCAGGAGCUUUGCCAAAAGGUCCCCAUGCCCCCUAAUAACCCCACAGUUUAAUGUGAAGCUCAAUGUAAUACAUUGGGUAAAAAAACCGAACAACUGUUAACAAUGGAUAUCUUGGUUCUC